AAUCAACGCUGGCGGCGUGCCUCAGACAUGCAAGUCGAACGCGAAAGGCCCCUUCGGGGGCCGAGUAGAGUGGGCGUCCGGGUGAGUAACACGUGGGUAAUCUACCUUCGGGUGGGGGAAUAACGACCGGAAACGGUCGCUAAUACCGCAUAAUGCAGCGGCACCUAAUGGUGACAGUUGUUAAAGCGGGGGAUCGCAAGACCUCGCGCCUGAAGAGGAGCCCGCGGCGGAUUAGCUAGUGGCAGGGUAACGGCCUACCAAGGCGACGAUCCGUAGCCGGCCUGAGAGGGCGGUCGGCCACACUGGCACUGACACACGGGCCAGACUCCUACGGGAGGCAGCAGUCGGGAAUUUUGGGCAAUGGG
rnacentral:rRNA from 1 species